GAUAAAGAUGAACUUGGCAUUGAAAACGAUGAGUCUGCUGAACAUGCUGAUGUGGAUCAAGAUGAAUCUGAUCAUCAGAUUCAAGGUGGAAAAUCAGAAAUGGACUAAGAGGCCAUGAAGUCCUAUAGUUUCAUUUUACAGAUGAAUCAGAUGGCUAAAUGGGGAUACACUGAAGGACUACAGGUAUUUCUGGAUGCUAGCCCUAGCAACAUUAUCCUGGGCUUUACCUCAGAGCAAUGAAACAAAGGAGAUGAAAUGAAGGAAAAGACCUCGGAAACAUCUGAUGGUUUUGACUAUGUAAGCCACUGAAAGAGCAUGACAGUUAACCCUAUGUGUAUGGCAAUUAAUUCAUGAACAUCAAAAAUUGUUAAUGAGAUUGUUGUAGGACUUCAAAACACACAGGAAUCAUAGGAUUACCUGACACAUGAUGAAACUGAAGGAGGACU